UUCGCCGCUCGUGACGUCUUGAGAAGUCCACUGAACCUUAUCAUUUAGAGGAAGGAGAAGUCGUAACAAGGUUUCCGUAGGUGAACCUGCGGAAGGAUCAUUGUUGAAAUCCUCAACGAGGAGGACCGUGAACUUGUCAACGAGCGUCGUCGGGUCGAGCCCGCCUCGGACCGACGCAGUCCCUGCCCUAGCGGUGCGGACGACCGACCAAAACCCCCGGCGCGAUGGGCGCCAAGGAGCACGGAAACAGCAGGUGGCCGGGACCUCGUCCUGGUCGUGCUGUGGUUACUGGGAACCUAAUGACUCUCGGCAACGGAUAUCUCGGCCCUCGCAUCGAUGAAGAACGUAGCGAAAUGCGAUACGUGGUGUGAAUUGCAGAAUCCCGCGAACCAUUGAGUCUUUGAACGCAAGUUGCGCCCGAGGCCUUUCGGUCGAGGGUACGCCUGCCUGGGCGUCACACGAUCGUCGCUCCGUGCGCCCCCAGCCCGACGCACGGGUGGCGGAGCCGGAUGCGUACAUUGGCCCCCCUCGCACUCUGGCGCGGUCGGCCAAAGAGCAUGCCGUCGCCGAUGGUUGGGCACGACGGGUGGUGGUGCUAUGAGCAAGCCUUACGUCGUGCCUCGGCCUAGGAGACGAGCUCCGAUGGAACCCCCCCACCCCACAAUAAUCGCCUUGGAUUGCGACCCCAGGUCAGGCGGGGCUACCCGCCGAGUUUAAGCAUAUAAAUAAGCGGAGGAGAAGAAACUUACGAGGAUUCCUAUAGUAACGGCGAGCGAACCGGGAUCAGCCCAGCUUGAGAAUCGGGCGGCUGGGCCGUUCGAA
rnacentral:rRNA from 1 species